GACGAACGCUGGCGGCGUGCCUAAUACAUGCAAGUAGAACGCACAGGAUGCACCGUAGUUUACUACACCGUAUUCUGUGAGUUGCGAACGGGUGAGUAACGCGUAGGUAACCUGCCUGGUAGCGGGGGAUAACUAUUGGAAACGAUAGCUAAUACCGCAUAAGAACAUUUACUGCAUGGUAGAUGUUUAAAAGGUGCAAAUGCAUCACUACCAGAUGGACCUGCGUUGUAUUAGCUAGUAGGUGAGGUAACGGCUCACCUAGGCGACGAUACAUAGCCGACCUGAGAGGGUGAUCGGCCACACUGGGACUGAGACACGGCCCAGACUCCUACGGGAGGCAGCAGUAGGGAAUCUUCGGCAAUGGGGGGAACCCUGACCGAGCAACGCCGCGUGAGUGAAGAAGGUUUUCGGAUCGUAAAGCUCUGUUGUUAAGGAAGAACGAGUGUGAGAAUGGAAAGUUCAUAC
rnacentral:rRNA from 1 species